UUACGUCACUUUUAUUAGACAUUUAUAUGGUUUAACGUUAGCGUAUUAACGGGGUUAAGGGAAAUAGCGUUACCGUUCCGCAAACGAACUUUAGUAUGUUGCGUAGUUCUAGUAUGUAGCGUAGUUCACGUGCGGGAAGCCAUUUCAUGACGCUUUGAAUUUCGCAUACAUCGUACUCCUGAUUGAUUCUGUCUGUGUGUGCGUCCGGAAAGUGGGAGAGGCGGCGCAAUGGGAGCGAGGGGCGCGUUGUUAUUUGUACUUUCGAUGUGCGUCGAUCUGCGGCGAAACAGUACAAGCUGUCUGCCAUAGCAUAGCCUCAGAAAUCCUCUGAUCUCAGAGGCCAUAUGCCGUCGUCGUGCCUAUUUCCUAACAUCACCGAUAGGUGGCGCUGGCGUCUCAGUUUUUCUUUCUUUCUUUUUUCUGUUAUGCUUGGUCGCGUUCGAAACGAGAAGCGACCUCGAAAAGUCAAGAUUAUUCAUUUGUCGUCGAAGCGGCCUGAAAAUAAGCGAAAGCCGUUUACACAGCCCUCUUGCCCAUCGAUCUCUACCAUGGUGUGGUAAGUGGCUCCGCCACUAGUCAACGACACGAAGCUUGACGGGGUUGCCGUCGGCGCAAACGUUCCAUUUUGAGCAACUAAAUAAGGCGUACCGAUUAUUCUCUGCAUCAUUAAACGAGUUGCAGUAAAAGGACCGAGGGAGAGGUCAAAGGCCUUCCUACAUUUGCCAAAGUAAUGACCAAAAUGCUCGAGGGAACGGCGUAAUGUUUGUUCGACGACUCGUCCCGAACCGGAGUGAGGUGGCGGUCUCCGCGGAGUCGGGAGGCCGUUCGAGACCGUCUCUAAGCAUACUUACCUGGUGCCGGGAUUACCGUGAUCAGCUAGGCGGUGUCCCCAGGGAGAGGCGCGGGCAUUGCACUGCGCUCGUGCUGACCCCUGCCACUACCCCAAACUGGGGCAGAUGGGGCAUGCAAUUUUUGGUAGUGGGGGACUGCGUUCGCGCUAUCCCCCUCCAUUCUCAAAACGCAAAAUCAGAUCUCAAAAUCGUGUACAUUGCAGAGGUGUGUUGCAGUUAUCUUGUUGGUCGUUGGAAUAUAUUGUAGAUAGUGCCCGCUCGAGGUUUCUCGAUUCAGGUUGUUGGGGCGAGGCCCUGCACACUUUGCAUUUGCAGCUACCAGGGCGCGUUCCAGCAUGACGCGCGCAAGUGGAGCUAUUGUAAUUUUGUUGCAUACCUUAAUUUGUAUUCUUUCUGCCAGGGGCUCUCACCGUGGCUAAAUAUUUGAUCCAGAAAUGUACAUAUAACGAGAAACAUAGUUAACAUGUCAUGUUUUUGCAAAAUAAGCAGACCAUUGUUUUUAUUGGACUUCUGUUAUUAAAAUCUGUGCUUUAUUACUUUCACUGACGUGUGAUAAGCAGCAGCCCACUGGUAUCGACUGCAGUCCGUGCUGUUUAUCGAUUCAAAUUUUACGGUGGUAAUAUUUGCGAAUGGGGUGGUCGUUUCCUAUGAGCAGCAUCACGCAGGUUCAUUUUAAUUAGAUUCCAAUAAUAUCUCAGCCACAUUAUGCGUCCAACAUUCAAUAGCCACCACCAAGCGAACUUGUUUAUAUCAGCUGCGGCGUUUCACUCGACUGCAUGUGUUCAAUAUUGCACUAGUGAUCUGCCACGUAAUGACGUGUUGCUUGAUAAAAAAAUGUGCUAGCUAGCGCAAAAAUUCAUCGCUGAAACCGAACAGUUUGCUUGAAGUCUACCCACGAAAGCGGAUUGACCUUGCAGCCUCUGGGCGUAUGCACUGUCUCCAAGAUGCUGCCCUUCACCCCUUUGGACUCUAUUGUGUCUAGACGUACAAGUCAACAGGGAUUGUGCCACCACUGGAAGUAACACCAAGGGCCAGAAUCCUCACAGUGAAGAUGGACAAAAGAGAGAUUAGCUGCCCAUGCCAAGUGAUAAGAAGCUGAACGGUCACCAUAAUGACAACAGGUCCUCUUGAACUAUGCGGCUCACCAUGAAAUGUUUGCAAGUUUACCAGAGAGAGGUGUGCGAGCCCUAUCAGGAAAGCAGCAGUCUACAGUUUUGUAUCAUAUGAGCGUUCCGCUCACAAGUUUACUUGAUUUUAAGAUCAUUUUAUGACAGAUGGAGAAAUAGCAUGAUGAGUCCCAACUUGUUUCUUUUCUAGUCAUUAGAGAGUUUUAGAAUAGGGGCCAAGAAAUAACAUCGAAGCCACUGUGCAUGCGCGAGACUCCAACUGUGUUUAGGUUUUGCAUCGGGCACGUUAUUUCACCGAUUUAGCGGGAGCCCCAAAAGCUGCCCUAAAACGUUUGCGUCAACAAACAUUGCGACUCCCAUCGAAGCAACAGCUCUAACCUAGCACCAAAUUGGGCUUGAUUUAUGGUAACGCGUGAAGCUCGUAAGCUAGGAGAAAAGUGACCUAGCACCAAAUUGGGCUUGAUUUAUGGUAACGCGUGAAGUUCGUAAGCUAAGAGAAAAGUGAAUGUGGUUAC